rnacentral:tRNA from 1 species
GGCUCCUUGGUCAAGCGGCUAAGACGCCGCCCUCUCACGGCGGAAACACGAGUUCGAUUCUCGUAGGAGUCA